GUUUGAGGAACAUGACAAAGAGUUCAAGGUGUUGCCUUGGCCUCCAAAUUUCCUAAAUCUCAAUCCAAUUGAGCAUCUGUGGCAUGUGCUGGAACAACCAAUCCGAUCCACGGAGGCCCCACCUCGUAACUUGCACUAAUUAAAUGAUCUGCUGUUAAUGUCUUGGUGCCAGAUACCACAGGGCUGUUUUGGAAAUACGAGGGGGACCUACACGAUUUUAGGCAGGUGGUUUUAUUGUUGUGGCUGAUCAGUGUAUAG